GGCUUCGUAGUUCAGCUGGUAGAGCGUUUGCCGCAUUGAGGCAUGGUGCUUCUGUCGCUGGUUCGAAUCCAGCCGAAGCCC
rnacentral:tRNA from 1 species